UCAAUAGAAGAUAGUGAGCGCAAAUCUCCCUUCAAACAAAAUAUCUUUUAAACCCAUAUUGCUGUCAGAAAUGUUGUCUAAAUGACUUGCACUUUAGUUAAUAAUUAAGCUGAAGAUUGCCGAUUGUGACGUAGAGUUGACUUGCAAAAUUAUCGGGUAAACUGUCAGAUCUGGUAAUCGGAUUAGGAGACAAGAUACCUGUGUUUGACACAACAAAAAUCAAGCAACACCCAUUGUCGUGACUGGACUUACACAGGUGGCCAUACAGGUGGUUAAGCAAGUGACAUCUGAUAAUUUUAACCACUAAUGACUAUUAAUAUUUGGUUUUAUCCUAUUAAAAAGAAGACUCUGUAUUCUAGACCAGACUAUAUUAUAUUUCUAUUUUGAAAUUGUUAUUCAAUUAGUUUAAUGUAUAACCCCUUAAGUUAUCACAGACGAUUUAAUAGUUUAUUUAGUAUCGGAUUUUGCAUAAAGGCAACGAGAUGGAAGAGCUUCGUUAAAGCAUUCAAAGUAUUCGAGUAAAACAAUUCAUUUCACUAUACAUAAAGCCAGAAAAUGUAUACAACAAGAUAUAAAUAAGUCACAUCGCUAUAAAUACACACGUCUUAAUUUAUCCUAAAUCAGUUUGUAAUUUGAUACCUCUAUAUACCGCAAUAAGUGAGAUGAGAGAGAUGUCUUUGUAAAGCAUAUCUGAUAGCAGAAAACAAUGACAAAGAUUUAUUACAGUUCAGACAAUGGACUAUCUCGUAAUCGAUCUCGUUGAAUUCGCUGUUUUCAAAGAAACAAAGUUAUUACAGCUGCUAAGUAAGUAUAAAUGAGAACAAAAAAAUUUGCAUAAUAAAAUGAUGACUUAGAAAUAAAUUCUAGUAAUCAUUACUGAAGAUUUAAUUUAGCUACAGCUAUUUGUUAUUAGAUUUAAAAUAUAUUUCUUUUAGUUUUUCUCUUUACUGAGUAAAUUUAAAGCAGUGAAAGUAUAAGUAUACGUAGUAUUUUCAAAAUUACAGAAUGACAAUUUCAAAUUAAAGCCCUCGCUAAGCUACUUCUUGCAUCAGCUAUUAUUUCGCCUUAUGAAUAUUCAUGUUCCUUCUAACAAGGCUAUUAGUCCAUAUUUGCUGUAUCAUCUGGAGCAAGGAGGCCAAUUCAGGUUCUAUGUAAUUUUCUAAUUAUGAUCUGUUAUAAAUUACAAAGAAUAAUAUAUUAUAAAGAAUAAUUGGUCAGAAAACAACAUAGUAUAUAUUUUUAGAUUAACUAUAGUAUCUUGUACAUACAAUAUAAAAUUAAUU